UGGGGAAUAUUCCGCAAUGGACGAAAGUCUGACGGAGCAACGCCGCGUGAGUGAUGAAGGUUUUCGGACUGUAAAGCUCUGUUGUUUAGGACGAAAGUGCCUGUUGCGAACAGUUACAGGUAUUGACGGUACUAAACGAGGAAGCCACGGCUAACUACGUGCCAGCAGCCGCGGUAAUACGUAGGUGGCAAGCGUUGUCCGGAAUUAUUGGGCGUAAAGAGCAUGUAGGCGGAGAUUUAAGUCUGUUGUGAAAAUGCGGGGCUCAACCCCGUAUUGCGUUGGAAACUGAAUUUCUUGAGUGCAGGAGAGGAAAGGGGAAUUCCCAGUGUAGCGGUGAAAUGCGUAGAUAUUGGGAGGAACACCAGUGGCGAAGGCGCCUUUCUGGACUGUGUCUGACGCUGAGAUGCGAAAGCCAGGGUAGCGAACG
rnacentral:rRNA from 1 species